UCGAACGGUUAAAGCACCUUCGGGUGUGUAUAGAGUGGCGAACGGCUGAGUAACACGUGGGCAACCUGCCCUUUGCAUCGGGACAGCCUCGGGAAACCGUGGUUAAUACCGGAUACUCCAUCUUUCUCACAUGAAAAAGAUGGGAAAGUGUUUAGCGGCAAGGGAUGGGCCCGCGCCCUGUUAGCUUGUUGGUGGGGUAAAAGCCUACCAAGGCAAUGAUGGGUAGCCGGGUUGAGAGACCGACCGGCCAGAUUGGGACUGAGACACGGCCCAGACUCCUACGGGAGGCAGCAGUGGGGAAUCUUGCACAAUGGGCGAAAGCCUGAUGCAGCGACGCCGCGUGCGGGAUGAAGGCCUUCGGGUUGUAAACCGCUUUCAGCAGGGACGAGGCGAAAGUGACGGUACCUGCAGAAGAAGCCCCGGCUAACUACGUGCCAGCAGCCGCGGUAAUACGUAGGGGGCAAGCGUUAUCCGGAUUCAUUGGGCGUAAAGCGCGCGUAGGCUGCCCAGUAGGUCGAGAGUUAAAUCCGGGGGCUCAACCCCCGUCCGCUCCCGAUACCGCUGGGCUUCGAGUCUGGUAGGGGAAGGUGGAAUUCCCAGUGUAGCGGUGGAAUGCGCAGAUAUUGGGAAGAACACCGGUGGCGAAUGCGGCCUUCUGGGCCAUGACUGACGCUGAGGCGCGAAAGCUAGGGGAGCGAACAGGAUU
rnacentral:rRNA from 1 species